rnacentral:rRNA from 1 species
UACGGGGGGAGCAAGCGUUGUUCGGAUUUACUGGGCGUAAAGGGCGCGUAGGCGGCCACCGCAAGUCGACUGUGAAAUCUCCGGGCUUAACCCAGAAAGGUCGACGCGAUACUGCGGGGCUAGAGUGCAGAAGGGGCAACUGGAAUUCUCGGUGUAGCGGUGAAAUGCGUAGAUAUCGAGAGGAACACCUGCGGCGAAGGCGGGUUGCUGGGCUGACACUGACGCUGAGGCGCGAAAGCUAGGGGAGCGAACGGG